rnacentral:tRNA from 1 species
UAGUAAAAUACAUUACACUGCCUUGUCAAGGCAAAAUUGUGGGUUGAACCCCUGCGAGUCCUG